rnacentral:lncRNA from 1 species
GUUGAAUCUCAGAUUUUGAUGAUGAAACUAAUUGAUUGUGUUUAGAUGUUUAACUGUAUUUUGAGUGAUGCAGGUCUACUCGAUCAGGAUUAGACAAUUAACGCAGGAGGAAUUGACGUUGCGUCAGAGGAGAUCACGUCAGGAUAUUGGAUGGCAGAAGGCUUCGGGCAUCGGGCAUCGGGCCAAGGAGAGCGAAAUUGCACCAAGGAUAUCGGGGUUGCGGAGGUCAACCGCCGAUUGGGCAACAAGCCGCAAGUGAGGACGAUGCACCGAAGAAUCGGACGAAGCGCCAACCAAUGACGUGCCGGGCAACAGAAUGUCAAUUUGCGUUAUAAUAAUUGUCUAGAUCGGAGUAGAGUGUUUGCUUGUGUGUGCAGGAUUAACUACGAUAACCAGAAAACACAAAGCGAGAAUACCGGAGUCGAGCUCGAUGGACGUUUAAGAGACCGAAGAAUCAUCGGAGAUGCUGCCGGAACCAUCCGAGAAGAAAUCGGGAACGUGUCGGAAGUUCGCCAAAGAAAUCGUCGGAGGUUCACGAAGAUCACCGAGAAGGCUCGGCUACUCGUUAAAGUCAUCACAAAGAUUGGGAGCUUGCAGGGAGUCCGUCGGAAGAAGUUCGUCGGAAAGCUCGCCGGAACAAGACUCGACGUUCGCGGUUAAAAAACUUGCUUAGGAUUUUUUUUUGGUUAUGUAGUCCACUUGUAAUUAGGAUUAGGAUUAAGAGAUAAUCCUAUAUCCUGGUUAGGGGCCAACUGGGCCCAAAGUCAGAGUUGGUUUAGGCUAAAAAUUAAGCUAAACCAGCGAACUAGAGAGCCAAGAUUGAAGCCCAACUAGUGGCUGAAAACACUGUAGUCGGGCUGAAAACACUGUAGGCGGUGGCACCUCCAGCACCGGAAACCCUAAGAAAAUUCAAAUUUUGGAGCCUAAAAUUUGAAUCCUCUUGAGGCCUAUAAAUACCCCUCAAAUCUCAGCUGAGGUUACAACUUUUGAGAAGCAUUU